rnacentral:rRNA from 1 species
CCUACGGGUGGCUGCAGUGGGGAAUAUUGGGCAAUGGAGGAAACUCUGACCCAGCAAUGCCGCGUGAAUGAAGAAGGUCUUCGGAUUGUAAAGUUCUUUAGUCAGGGAAGAAUAAAAUGACGGUACCUGAAGAAUAAGCUCCGGCUAACUACGUGCCAGCAGCCGCGGUAAUACGUAGGGAGCAAGCGUUGUUCGGAAGGACUGGGCGUAAAGGGUGAGUAGGCGGUCUGUUAAGUCAGCGGUAAAAGCCCGGGGCUCAACCCCGGCGAGCCGGUGAAACUGGCGGGCUGGAGUUGGAGAGAAGUACGCGGAAUGCGCGGUGUAGCGGUGAAAUGCUUAGAUAUCGCGCAGAACCCCGAGUGCGAAGGCAGCGUACCGGCUCCACACUGACGCUGAGGCACGAAAGCGUGGGUAUCGAACAGGAUUAGAUACCCGAGUAGU